AAACGACUCUCGGCAACGGAUAUCCCGGCUCUCGCAUCGAUGAAGAACGUAGCGAAAUGCGAUACUUGGUGUGAAUUGCAGAAUCUCGUGAACCAUCGAGUCUUUGAACGCAAGUUGCGCCCGAAGUCACUAGGCUGAGGGCACGCCUGCCUGGGUGUCACGC
rnacentral:rRNA from 1 species